rnacentral:miRNA from 1 species
ACCAAAAGUUCAUUCAGAUUU